UUAAGAUUUUAAGUUAAUUAUAAAACUAUUAAUCUUCAAAAUUAAAAAUAAAUAUUCUUUUAAAUCUUA
rnacentral:tRNA from 2 species